UGAAGCUGGAAUCGCUAGUAAUCGCAGAUCAGAAUGCUGCGGUGAAUACGUUCCCGGGUCUUGUACACACCGCCCGUCACACCAUGGGAGCCGGAAAUGCCCGAAGCCAGUGACCCAACCUUAGGGAGGGAGCUGUCGAAGGUGGAGCCGGUAACUGGGGGUGAAGUCGUAACAAGGUACC
rnacentral:rRNA from 1 species